UGGGGAAUUUUGGACAAUGGGCGAAAGCCUGAUCCAGCAAUGCCGCGUGUGUGAAGAAGGCCUUCGGGUUGUAAAGCACUUUUGUCCGGAAAGAAAUCCUUGGCUCUAAUACAGUCGGGGGAUGACGGUACCGGAAGAAUAAGCACCGGCUAACUACGUGCCAGCAGCCGCGGUAAUACGUAGGGUGCAAGCGUUAAUCGGAAUUACUGGGCGUAAAGCGUGCGCAGGCGGUUUGCUAAGACCGAUGUGAAAUCCCCGGGCUCAACCUGGGAACUGCAUUGGUGACUGGCAGGCUAGAGUAUGGCAGAGGGGGGUAGAAUUCCACGUGUAGCAGUGAAAUGCGUAGAGAUGUGGAGGAAUACCGAUGGCGAAGGCAGCCCCCUGGGCCAAAUACUGACGCUCAUGCACGAAAGCGUGGGGAGCAAACAGGAUUAGAUACCCUGGUAGUCCACGCCCUAAAACGAUGUCAACUAGUUGUUGGGGAUUCAUUUCCUUAGUAACGUAGCUAACGCGUGAAGUUGACCGCCUGGGGAGUACGGUCGCAAGAUUAAAACUCAAAGGAAUUGACGGGGUC
rnacentral:rRNA from 1 species